UACAGAGGUCCCAAGCGUUGUUCGGAUUUACUGGGCGUAAAGGGUGCGUAGGCGGCGGGGAAAGUUUAAGGUGAAAUCUCCAGGCCUAACUUGGAAAAUGCCUUGAAUACUUCCCUGCUCGAGGGUCGCAGAGGAGAUUGGAAUUCUCGGUGUAGCAGUGAAAUGCGUAGAUAUCGAGAGGAACAUCAGUGGCGAAAGCGAAUCUCUGGGCGACUCCUGACGCUGAGGCACGAAAGCCAGGGGAGCAAACGGG
rnacentral:rRNA from 1 species